rnacentral:misc_RNA from 1 species
AACGCAACUUGCGCCUGCUUCUGGCAGGCAUGCUUGUUUGAGAAUCUAUCUACUUUUCUCUAGGAGAGAGUUGGCCGACGCUGUGAGCACGGCUUAAAAGAACUGCAUGGGCAGAGCGUCGAAGGCUUGGCCGCUUCCUCUGCCCUGACCACCAAAGAUCUCAAAUCAAGCAGGAGGACCCGCUGAACUUAA